ACCCUCUGUGAGUAACCCCAUUCAUUGUCAUACCAAGCAAUAACCUUAACCAUGUCAUCUCCCAUGACCAUAGUAAGUGAAGCAUCAACAGUUGAUGACACAUCACUGCACCGGAAGUCGACCGACACGAGUGGUUCAUCGCAGACAUCGAGAAUGCCUUUGAGCUCCUUGUCAGCAGCCUCCCUAAAUGCAGCAUUCACUUCCUCAGCAAAUGUCUUCUUGGUGACUUGAACGACAAGGUCCACGACAGAGACGUUAGGGGUUGGCACACGGAGGGCAAUGCCGUUGAGCUUCCCCUUAAGGCUUGGGAGGACAAGGGCCACGGCCUUAGCAGCACCAGUUGAGGUUGGAACUAUGUUGAGGGCUGCAGCUCGUGCACGUCUAAGGUCCCUGUGGCUCGCAUCAAGAAGCCUUUGGUCACCAGUGUAAGAGUGAGUAGUUGUCAUGGUUCCCUUGAUAAUGCCUAUGCAAGAAAAAAUAUUAGUUUAUGAAUUUAAGUUAUAUGCACUGACAGUAAAAGACAGUAAUGCUCGUGUAUAACUAGAUAAAGGUGUAUUACCGAAUUUUUGGUCAAGAACCUUGACAAAAGGAGCAAGGCAGUUGGUGGUGCAAGAGGCAUUGCUGAUGAUUGGUUCAUCAGGGUUGUAGAGAUCAGCAUUGACACCAACAACAUAUGUGGGGAUGUCACCUUUUCCGGGAGCGGUGAUGAGCACCUUCUUGGCUCCGGCCUGGAUGUGUUUUCCGGCACCUUCUCUGUCGACAAACACUCCGGUACCUUCUAUUACCAAGUCAAUCCCAAGAUCUCUGAACACAUUACACAAACAUUUUGAACAUUAGUAGCUGUUAGAGGUUGAAGGGGAGCCUUGGCGUAACUGGUAAGUUGUUGCCAUGUAACCAGGAGGUCACGGGUUCAAGCCGUGGAAACAAUAUCUUGCAGAAAGGGUAAGGCUGCGUACAAUAGACCCUUGUGGUCCGGUCCCUCCCCGGACCCCGCGCAUAGCGGGAGCUUAGUGCAACGGACUGCCCUUUAGUAGCUGUUAGAGGUUGACCAGAUAUCACAAGCUAGUAUUAUACUAGACAGUACAUGAGCUAAGUUAAGCAUGUUAUCAUGAUUCAUUUCUAGCUACUCACUGUUGGACAAUGUUAAAACUUAGAACUACUGUUUCAUAUUUUUGUUUUUUGUUCUCAGCAUAAUGACAAUCACUUGCAAUGCUCGUCCAAGUUGUGCUUGGACCACACAUAUUGCAUUAAUCACACUAAGAACAAAUGGAUUGCUAUUUUGUGAUAAUUCAAAUUUUUGUACAUUGAAAGUAUAAUGAAUCUUUUACACUAUCCAUACUUAGAAACCAAUUAUAGAUGACAACAAAUAGUAAGGUAAAUUUUUUUAACUCGAGAAAAGAGGAUAACUAACUUACUAUAGCCGGUUAAGUUACCGUUAAGAUAUAAAUUUCCUUACAAUAUAUAUAUAUAUGAAUGUAUAUAACUUAAAUCCUUUCAUUACAUGUUAGUAUGAAAGAACUUACCCCCAGGGGAGGUUGACGGGGUUGCGGUUGGAGACGACUUGGAUGACUUUUCCGUCGACGGAGAUGCCGUCAGUGCCGACAGGCUUGACGUCAGCAUCAAAGAUGCCAAGGGUGGAGUCAUAUUUGAGAAGGUGAGAGGCUUGCUUGACACCACCAGUGUCAUUGAUGGCAAUGACAUCAAGGGGAGAGUCUUUCCUACCAUGCCAACACCUCAAGAAAUUCCUUCCAAUUCUUCCAAAUCCAUUGAUGGCCACUUUCAACUUGGCCUCCACUACUCCCCUCUUGUUGUUCCCUCCUCCAAUCUACAGUUUAUAAAUCCAAUUCCAUGUAAUUAUCACAAGAAAUCACUUGUUAUACAAUAACAACAACAACAACAAUAACAACAACAACAACAAAAAACACAGUGAAUUCCCACAAGUGGGGUCCGGGAAAGGUAGUGUGUACGCAGACCUUACCCCUACCUUUAGAAGGUAGAGAGACUGUUUUCCGAAGACUCUCGGCUCAUGAAAGAUAAAAGGAGGGGCAAUGACAAGCAAAUAUCUUGUUAUACAACGACCAAAAAUCAAAAUUGUGGAAGUACAAUUUAGAUGUUAUACAAUGUUAUCAUUAAUUUAUGUGGUUUAAAUUCUCUUUAAGAGUAGUGUCUGUUCUUCCUUCAAACUUAUGCAAUUACCAAUUUGCAUCAAGAUUUUGUGAGGGGCCAUUUUCUUUUUCUUCUAAAGAUCUAUUUCUAACUCUCUUUGCUAACAUUAGAGCACAAGAAUUGCACUUACUUGAGCAUUAGCAAGAAUAUAGAAGUACCUCAAACUUUUCAGCUCUACUUAGCCAUUGGAUUUCAAGUACUAUCAAGAAGACUAACAGUUAGAGACUUAUUCCUUAAUCACAAUAGACAUGAAGUAUACAUAUUCUUAUUUUCUUCUUCUUUCUCUUAUUUUAUUGGAUUUAAGUAAUAUACACUGUGUUACACUAUUAUUAUAGUUUAACAUGUGAUAGCAGAUUAGUUACCACGGUUGUUAAGUUACCAAUUAAUGCUUGUCAUAUAUGCUUGUACUUAUCUUAUAAUUUAUCUGAUAUCGUUAUGCUUGAAUAAGUUAUUAAACUCAAUCAUUCAAAGAUAAAAAUGCAAUAAUAGUACUCACAACAGAGGUUUGGAAAGCAACAACAGAGAGCAAGUCAUCAUUAGUUUUUCUUCCAAAUGGAAUAGCUGAUGAGGUACGCAGCCCUGAGAAUUCAGAGAAUCCUUUGUUG
rnacentral:lncRNA from 1 species